UCAUGGGUGGUUCAGCGGUAGAACUCUCACCUGCCACUGGGAGGCCUGGGUUUGUUUUCCAGCCCAUGUA
rnacentral:tRNA from 1 species